rnacentral:rRNA from 1 species
UACGGAGGGGACUAGCGUUGUUCGGAAUUACUGGGCGUAAAGCGCACGUAGGCGGCUUUGUAAGUUAGAGGUGAAAGCCCGGGGCUCAACUCCGGAACUGCCUUUAAGACUGCAUCGCUUGAAUCCAGGAGAGGUGAGUGGAAUUCCGAGUGUAGAGGUGAAAUUCAUAGAUAUUCGGAAGAACACCAGUGGCGAAGGCGGCUCACUGGACUGGUAUUGACGCUGAGGUGCGAAAGCGUGGGGAGCAAACAGG